UGUGUUGAUGCUGUAACACGCCUCUUGUGCUUCACCCCACUGAAAUCUGGUUAUGUAUGAAACAGACUCCGGUGGAAUGAAGGACAGUAGGACAUGUGGAUCA
rnacentral:miRNA from 1 species